AUAUAUACAUAUAUAUGUCUACACACAUGCACACGCGUAUCUUAUUGGCUGUUCCCUGGAGAACCCUGACUAACACAGCCCCUCACUGUGGCCAGCAUGGGCCGGUGGUUAGUCAAGGUCACUGUCUCCAGGGCUGUUGUGAAGCUGAAUGGAGAUCAGUUUUGCACAGAAACAUGUGAGGUCUUAUCAGCACUCCCAGCCUCCCUGCUAGCAGGAGGGAAGCACUGUAAUCUGAUUCCCAAGCAGCUUUAGAAAGGUACCUCUGUGGUACAGGCCACUCCUCCAGGAGAGAAAUUCCCAGCUAUAUCCAAAUGUUCCAGAGUAUAAAACCUGAGACGCUUCCAUCAAGCUAAAGUGGCUUAAACAGGGAAGUGGCCUUAGAAAUGCCCUGGCCAAGGCUCCUGUUUUGCAGAUGGGAACAGAAGUGCACAAGGCGGAGGCCAUUUGCAUAAGGACAUUGGCAGCAGCAGCAGAAGCAGGGCUAUCGGCACGGCUACGUCUCCCGGUCUGUUUCCAGUUUCACGUUCCUCCCUCCUGGGCCAAACCACCACUGGGGACUCUUUUCUUCCUACAGCUCCAGGCAGCGCUGCAUCAUGGAAAGGUCACUCAGCUCACAUUCAUGACAUGCUUUCUGUAUGCAAGGCAGAUCAGAUCUAAGGGCAAACAAACAUACCCAAACCCAGGGGACUACUGAGCACAGACAAAUAAAUAAGCAAUUACAGUACAAAACAAGAAGUGAUCAAGAGAUACAUAAGAGGACCCAAGAGCCCUCAGAAGGCCACUUACACUGCAGGAGGGGCCUUAGGAAAUACUUCCCUGAGAAAGUGACAUUUAAGCUGAGACCAAGGUAUUAAUACUACAAAGGAGUUACCUAAGGAAGGAAGACAGGGGGUGAGGGAGGGCCAUCCACACAGGCUCUAGAGCAGGCGGCCUGGUUUUGAAACCAGCACCAGCACUGCCUGCCUGUGCCUGAUGCACUCAGUGCAGCUGCACUUAACUUCUCCAGCCUCAGUUUCCUCAUCGUAAAAUGGCUAGUAAGCCUGCUCAUUCCUGUAAUCCCAGCACUUUGGGAGACUGAGGCAGGAGGAUGACUUGAGUCCAGGAGUUCAAGACCAGCCUGGACAACAUAGGGAGACCCCAUCUCCAAAAAAGAAAUAGACAAAACAAAACACAACAAAAUGGAUAGUAAUAGUACCUGCCUCUUUGGGUUGUAGUUGGGAAAAUUGAGUUACAACUGACACAAAAGGUUCCUUAAAUGUUCAAUUAAAAUAUAUGAAGAAGCGGCCGGGCGUGGUGGCUCACGCCUGUAAUCCCAGCACUUUGGGAGGCUGAGGCGGGUGGAUCAUGAGGUCAGGAGUUCAAGACCAGCCUGGCCAAGAUGGUGAAACUUCAUCUCUACUAAAAAUACAAAA
rnacentral:lncRNA from 10 species